rnacentral:lncRNA from 1 species
GCAGUUCCAAUAUUAUCCUCCCCUUGAAUCCAAUUUCCUUCUCUUUGGAUAUGAAGUUUGCUUCUCCUACCUCUAACUAUUGAAUGGAAAAUUUUGGUAUUAUCAUCGCCUUCCAAAUCCCACUUCAGGUUAGCUUCUGUCUACAAAAGGCAUCCAUUUGUUUAUGACGGACAAUACCUUCAGCCUUGUAUCUAUGGAGCAUAAUCAUGUCCUCUUGAUUGAGAGAUUGCAUAUAGGAAGGAGUCUUCAUAAUGAUUAAUCAGAUCCUCAAGUUUUCGGGCCUUCAAGAAAGUAUCACCAAUGAUGUUUCUAGACCAACUGCUCAAGGCUUUGCUGGUAUUCUUCAUUUUCUGUUGUAUUUCCCAGAAUGUGUUUCCUUUAGUAUGAGAGAUCUAAC